UACGUAGGGGGCAAGCGUUAUCCGGAUUUACUGGGUGUAAAGGGGGCGUAGGCGGUUCAGCAAGUCAGAAGUGAAAGCCCGGGGCUCAACUCCGGGACUGCUUUUGAAACUGUUGAACUAGAUUGCAGGAGAGGUAAGUGGAAUUCCUAGUGUAGCGGUGAAAUGCGUAGAUAUUAGGAGGAACACCAGUGGCGAAGGCGGCUUACUGGACUGUAAAUGACGCUGAGGCUCGAAAGCGUGGGGAGCAAACAGG
rnacentral:rRNA from 1 species